UGGUGGAGUGAUUUGUCUGGUUAAUUCCGUUAACGAACGAGACCUCGACCUGCUAACUAGUUCGUCGAAUCCUCCGGGAUUCGGGCGCAACUUCUUAGAGGGACUAUCGGUGUUCUAGCCGAUGGAAGUUCGAGGCAAUAACA
rnacentral:rRNA from 1 species